GUGUAGGCAGGCUGGCGAAAAACCGAGUCGGCCCUGGUGAGUGGGUCUGGAGCAGGACAUCCAUCCGUGAGACUGGCGACUGAUUAGGGAGAGAGUGAAUAAUCUGAUUAAUCGUCUGUACGAUCCUGUUCCAUGCCUGACCUGUCAAGAUUUGUGGAGGAACUCACGGUCUGCACGCCACAUUCAAGAUAGGGUAUAAUAUAGUGAGACCUUUAGGUCCCUGUAUGCCUGACUGUCCGGACACGUAUCUCCAAGAGUAGGCCCAGGAAUGUGAAUUCAAGAACUGAAGUCAAGAUAUGCCUAUAGAGGAAUACCUCCCUUCUUAGCCUGGAGUCCCG